GAGGGAAAGAGAUAGAUACUUAUUGUAAAAUGUUUUAAUUGUGGUAUAGCUUCUUUAAAACCUAUUUAAUCAGCUUAUAUAUACACAUUGUGAUAGCUGAAUAACCAACAGACACUAACAACAAAUAACUCAUAGCUGUGUGGCUGCUCAGAUCCAUGUGUGCCUAAAUUGACAUCAUCUACAAAUCUGUUCCAAAGAUAAAAUAUUCCAAAAAAUAUUGCAGAGGAUACCUGAUGAAUGGAAGUUAUAAACUGAAUCUCAAAGUAGAUACCGGUUGUAGCUUGUGAAGACGGUGGGCUGCUGGACCCCUGCUUUGUUGGGAUCUACUCACUGACUCAGUCAUCAAUAAAGUAAAAUAUAGAAACUGCAGAUAUAAUCAUGACAGACACAUUUUCUUUAUAACCCAAACUUUUUAGUAGUCCUUAUAAUGCCAAUAAUUAGAUAUAUUUUUUUAAUCUUUGCAACAAAAUAGGGCUGGGUAGUGGAGAUUUAGAUUUGAGGUAAACAUUUUAUUUUUAUAAAAUUUUGAACUAGAUUUUCUAGUUAUAAUGGAGCUCAGAACGUCUGUUAGGUCAGCUUCCUCACUGCCACCAAGAGACCCUGGAGCGCUGGACUGGGGUCUGUGGAGACUUUUUCCACUGGACAAG